rnacentral:rRNA from 1 species
AGGACAAACGCUGGCGGCGUACCUAAGACAUGCAAGUCGAACGGAUUGCAAAUCUUCGGAUGUGCAGUGAGUGGCGAACGGGUGAGUAACGCGUAGGAAUCCACCUCGAUGUGGGGGAUACCACUUGGAAACAGGUGCUAAUACCGCAUGUGGUCGCGAGAAGAAAGGCUGUAGCAAUACAGUCGCGUUGAGAGGAGCCUGCGUCCGAUUAGCUAGUUGGUGGGGUAAAGGCCUACCAAGGUGACGAUCGGUAGCUGGU